ACAGCAUGCAGAGUUACAGCUUCUGGCUUGAAUACAGUAAGAUUUUGCUAUAUUUAUGGCGGCAUCAGGGGGCCCAAGGGGGCUAGAUGGUGGUUUUAACACUAUAGGGUCAGGAAUACAUUUUUGUGUUCCUGACCCUAUAUUGAUCCUACUAAUUAAGAUCAUGUCCUUCUCUUUUUUGAGUAGAAUGUAGGAAUAGUACUGGGCUAACCCCCAAU